UACGUAGGGGGCAAGCGUUGUCCGGAUUUAUUGGGCGUAAAGAGCUCGUAGGCGGUUUGGUAAGUCAGGUGUGAAAUCUCCACGCUCAACGUGGAGGGGCCACCUGAUACUGCCAUGACUGGAGUCCGGUAGAGGAGUGUGGAAUUCCCGGUGUAGCGGUGAAAUGCGCAGAUAUCGGGAGGAACACCGGUGGCGAAGGCGGUUCUCUGGGCCUUACCUGACGCUGAGGAGCGAAAGCGUGGGGAGCGAACAGG
rnacentral:rRNA from 1 species